rnacentral:rRNA from 1 species
UACGUAGGGUGCAAGCGUUGUCCGGAUUUAUUGGGCGUAAAGAGCUCGUAGGCGGUUUGUCGCGUCGACUGUGAAAGCCCGGGGCUCAACUCCGGGUCUGCGGUCGAUACGGGCAGACUAGAGUUCGGUGAGGGGAGACUGGAAUUCCUGGUGUAGCGGUGAAAUGCGCAGAUAUCAGGAGGAACACCGGUGGCGAAGGCGGGUCUCUGGGCCGAUACUGACGUUGAGGAGCGAAAGCGUGGGGAGCAAACAGG